rnacentral:rRNA from 1 species
AUUGAACGCUGGCUGCAGGCCUAACACAUGCAAGUCGAACGGUAGCACAGAGAGCUUGCUCACGGGUGACGAGUGUCGGACGGGUGAGUAAUGUCUGGGAAACUGCCCGAUGGAGGGGGAUAACUACUGGAAACGGUAGCUAAUACCGCAUAACGUCGCAAGACCAAAGUGGGGGACCUUCGGGCCUCACACCAUCGGAUGUGCCCAGAUGGGAGUAGCUAGUAGGUGGGGUAAUGGCUCACCUAGGCGACGAUCCCUAGCUGGGCUGAGAGGAUGACCGACCACACUGGAACGGAGACACGGUCAAGACUCCAACGGGAGGCAGAAUUGGGGAAGAUUGCACAAGGGGCGCAAGCCUGAUGCAGCCAUGCCGAGUGUAUGAAGAAGGCCUUCAGGUGGUAAAGUACUUUCAGCGGGGAGGAAGGCGGUGAAGUUAAUAGCUUCACCGAUUGACGUUACCCGCAGAAGAAGCACCGGCUAACUCCGUGCCAGCCGCCGCAGUAA